UGGGGAAUUUUGGACAAUGGGCGAAAGCCUGAUCCAGCAAUGCCGCGUGUGUGAAGAAGGCCUUCGGGUUGUAAAGCACUUUUGUCCGGAAAGAAAUCCUUGGCUCUAAUACAGUCGGGGGAUGACGGUACCGGAAGAAUAAGCACCGGCUAACUACGUGCCAGCAGCCGCGGUAAUACGUAGGGUGCAAGCGUUAAUCGGAAUUACUGGGCGUAAAGCGUGCGCAGGCGGUUUGCUAAGACCGAUGUGAAAUCCCCGGGCUCAACCUGGGAACUGCAUUGGUGACUGGCAGGCUAGAGUAUGGCAGAGGGGGGUAGAAUUCCACGUGUAGCAGUGAAAAUGCGUAGAGAUGUGGAGGAAUACCGAUGGCGAAAGGCAGCCCCCUGGGCCAAAUACUGACGCUCAUGCACGAAAAGCGUGGGGAGCAAAACAGGAUUAGAUACCCUGGUAGUCCACGCCCUAAAACGAUGUCAACUAGUUGUUGGGGAUUUUAUUUCCUUAGUAACGUAGCUAAACGCGUGAAGUUGACCGCCUGGGGAGUAACGGUCG
rnacentral:rRNA from 1 species